GGUUCCAUAGUGUAGCGGUUAGCACAUCUGCUUUGCACACAGGAAGUCCUGGGUUUGUGCCUCAGUGGAGCCA
rfam:Pteropus alecto contig40304, whole genome shotgun sequence.